GCCCCCGUAACUCAACAGGUAGAGUGUCCGCCUCUUAAGCGGGUUGUUCCAGGUUCGAGUCCUGGUGGGGGCA
rnacentral:tRNA from 1 species